GUAUUUUGAAUUAACAGACGAGUGUAGUUAAAGAUAUAGGUUGAUAUUUGUAAAGGAAAGAGUUGCCUCUCUCCCAACAAACAUUGCACACAAGGUGGAUAUGGAUUUUUAAAGAGUGCCAUAAAACACUCAUUGUGAAUGAUCCUUCCGCAGGUUCACCUACGGAAA
rnacentral:misc_RNA from 1 species